rnacentral:sRNA from 1 species
UAAACGGAUGCGGUGACGAUCGGCUGGU